rnacentral:lncRNA from 1 species
UCCAAGGGUCAAUACGAAUGUAUGAGACAAGAAGACAGGACUUAAUACUAGGAUUCAUAGAUCUUCUUCAAGAAAAAGUAACGAGCGAGUCAUCAUAUUUUUUAAAAUAAAAAUAAUGAUUGAAAUCAUCAAAAGUCAUACCAGGAUGCCUCAACAGAGGCUAAUGAUCAUAUUCUAUGAAUAUCUGGCAAGGAUCAAAUUG